rnacentral:rRNA from 1 species
GACGAACGCUGGCGGCGUGCUUAACACAUGCAAGUCGAACGGAAAGGCCCUGCUUUUGUGGGGUGCUCGAGUGGCGAACGGGUGAGUAACACGUGAGUAACCUGCCCUUGACUUUGGGAUAACUUCAGGAAACUGGGGCUAAUACCGGAUAGGAGCUCCUGCUGCAUGGUGGGGGUUGGAAAGUUUCGGCGGUUGGGGAUGGACUCGCGGCUUAUCAGCUUGUGGGUGGGGUAGUGGCUGACCAAGGCUUUGACGGGUAGCCGGCCUGAGAGGGUGACCGGCCACAUUGGUCCUGCGGUACGGCCCAGACUCCUACGGGAGGCAGCAGUGGGGAAUAUUGCACAAUGGGCGGAAGCCUGAUGCAGCAACGCCGCGUGCGGGAUGACGGCCUUCGGGUUGUAAACCGCUUUCGCCUGUGACGAAGCGUGAGUGACGGUAAUGGGUAAAGAAGCACCGGCUAACUACGUG